CCUACGGGUGGCAGCAGUGAGGAAUAUUGGUCAAUGGACGAGAGUCUGAACCAGCCAAGUAGCGUGAAGGCUGACUGCCCUAUGGGUUGUAAACUUCUUUUAUAAAGGAAUAAAACGAGGCACGUGUGCCUUUUUGCAUGUACUUUAUGAAUAAGGAUCGGCUAACUCCGUGCCAGCAGCCGCGGUAAUACGGAGGAUCCGAGCGUUAUCCGGAUUUAUUGGGUUUAAAGGGAGCGUAGAUGGGUUGUUAAGUCAGUUGGGAAAGUUUGCGGCUCAAACGUAAAAUUGCCAGUGAUACUGGAAGUCUUGAGUACAGUUGAGGUAGGCGGAAUUCGUGGUGUAGCGGUGAAAUGCUUAGAUAUCACGAAGAACCCCGAUUGCGAAGGCAGCUUACUAAACUGUGACUGACAUUGAUGCUCGAAAGUGUGGGUAUCAAACAGGAUUAGAUACCCGGGUAGUC
rnacentral:rRNA from 1 species